GACGAACGCUGGCGGCGUGCCUAAUACAUGCAAGUCGAACGCUUCUUUCCUCCCGAGUGCUUGCACUCCAUUGGAAAGAGGAGUGGCGGACGGGUGAGUAACACGUGGGUAACCUACCCAUCAGAGGGGGAUAACACUUGGAAACAGGUGCUAAUACCGCAUAACAGUUUAUGCCGCAUGGCAUAAGAGUGAAAGGCGCUUUCGGGUGUCGUUGAUGGAUGGACCCGCGGUGCAUUGGCUAGUUGGUGAGGUAACGGCUCACCAAGGCAACGAUGCAUAGCCGACCUGAGGGGGUGAUCGGCCACGCUGGGACUGAGAAACGGCCCAGACUCCUACGGGAGGCAGCAGUAGGGAAUCUUCGGCAAUGGACGAAAGUCUGACCGAGCAACGCCGCGUGAGUGAAGAAGGUGUUCGGAUCGUAAAACUCUGUUGUUAGAGAAGAACAAGGACGUUAGUAACUGAACGUCCCCUGACGGUAUCUAACCAGAAAGCCACGGCUAACUACGUG
rnacentral:rRNA from 1 species